rnacentral:rRNA from 1 species
UACAGAGGUCUCAACCGUUGUUCGGAUUCAUUGGGCGUAAAGGGUGCGUAGGCGGUCGUGCAAGUCGGAUGUGAAAUCUCAGGCUCAACCCUGAAACUGCAUUCGAUACUGCGUGGCUAGAGUGGCUGGAGAGGAGACUGGAAUUUACGGUGUAGCAGUGAAAUGCGUAGAUAUCGUAAGGAAGACCAGUGGCGAAGGCGAGUCUCUGGACAGCAACUGACGCUGAGGCACGAAGGCCAGGGGAGCAAACGGG